UCACGUGUCUGUGAAUUCCUUCGUUAUGAGUCAUUCCAGUUAUCUUGAAAAACCGGUUAUGUUUUUCCGUGUGUUCGGUCAUCGGUGGUGAAUUUUACGCGAAAUUGAUGAAUAUUUAUCGAAUUCGAAAUAUUAAUUAAAAUGAUUAAUCGCAAACAUUUCUAACUAAUUCAACGUUGCAGUGUAUUCAUGGCUCGAUUUAAAUUACGUUAAUCGAACGUUCAUCACUCACUCCAACCCUGCUGCGAUCAACCAGCCGCCGGAAAACUGACUUCCAAGCUACAAGCUUUUCCCUCUGAAACGAAUCAAAUCCGAAUGAAAACGUUGAGAACCCCUAAUCGGAUUGAAAAUCGCCUAAAAGAACUGGCUGUCACGAAGAGGCGCGACGCGAUACACGGUGGCGUGUUUGAAGAAGAGAAAACGAUGCUAUUUUUCGUCGUGUAAUUAAUUAAGAAGCCGAAAAGGUAAUUGAUUAAAUUACCUACUCGUAGAAACUUGACGUGUACGAUAGAGUUAACCGGAAAUUGUAUUAAUCAACUCGAAGGGUCUGUUAGAUAAAAGGAAUGAGUGUAAAAUUUAAACGUAACUAGUAGUAAAACUACAUAACGGGAAAUGGGCUCGAGAGCUGAUUUUUUUUUUGAAAAAUAGUUUAAAAUUCUGAAUUUGGUUUGUGUGAGAAAAACACCAAUUUUAUGAAGUAUAGUCCGUCAAAUGACAAUAGGAACAGUUGCAUCCC